GUAGGUUUCAUUAUCUGGCUGAGAAGUCCUAAAAAAAAAAAAAAGAAAACAAAAAAAACCCCAACAACUGCAGCAAACAAGUCUGACUUGAACAUCUGGAGGACGAGGAGCAGGAAAACAAAUGAAAGGGCCUGCUGUACUCCGUGCCAGGAGGAUUUGCAAUCCAGAAAGAGAUGCAAAUGACUAAGGCUGAGCGAUCCACUUUCUGUAGCCCCAAAAAGGCAUCACAGGCUCGUGAGUCUCAGCCACACGGUGCUUCCCAGGGGGAUCCAUUAACUUUUCUUGCUGCUGGUGAGCUCCUGGGACAACAUCUGAACUUUGCAAACGUGAAGGAAUUCAAACGGAGGCCUGGACGUCAUCGCGUUUUCCAAGUGGGCCAUAAAUCAGGGAAUUUGGUUUUGGGAAGAGUGGGAAAACCUCAGUUCCAACUACUGCCAGCCUGUGCUUAGCACCAAGAACCCAUAUCAAGAAUGCAGUGGUUACAUCAGGUGAGGCCUCACAAAGCAGCUCGUGUCCUUUCCAUAAUCUUGUUUCCUCCUGCCAAAACCCUCCCAUGGAAAUGGGAUCAGCAGGGAUGCGAUGUUGCAGGGCUCCCAUUGCUCUGCAGUGACUCCUGCAGUGAUGGAAGCCUGGAAGUGAGCAGGAAAAUCUGGGAGCUGCUGCCAGAACUGCAACAGAAAUGAGGAGACAGGAGGAUGGAUGCUGUAGGUCCCCCUGAGGUGGGGCAGGGUUGGGAGGCUUGGAGGCUGCAGGGAGGAGGAAGAGGAUGAGGAAGAGCAGCUCACUAGGUGGCAUUCUGCCCUCUGAUUUCAGCUGGGAACAUGGGAAGUGGGGCUGGGGAAUGGGAGUGGCUUCCCACAGGAAUCUUAUUCCCACAGAGGACCCAACACUCCUGGUCAUCCUGGGACCUCAGGCAGGUGGCUGACCGCCCAGGAGCCCCUGGUCCCAAAAAAGCCUGGCUCUAGAUCUCAUAUUUUUGGGGCAAAGCUCAAACUGGUGAGCAGAAUACGCCUGCAGAGUUAAUAAACCAAAUUAACCAGUCA
rnacentral:lncRNA from 1 species